rnacentral:rRNA from 1 species
CACGUAGGGCGCAAGCGUUGUCCGGAAUUAUUGGGCGUAAAGAGCUCGUAGGCGGUCUGUCGCGUCGGCUGUGAAAACCCGGGGCUCAACCCCGGGCCUGCAGUCGAUACGGGCAGACUAGAGUGCGGUAGGGGAGACUGGAAUUCCUGGUGUAGCGGUGAAAUGCGCAGAUAUCAGGAGGAACACCGGUGGCGAAGGCGGGUCUCUGGGCCGAUACUGACACUGAGGAGCGAAAGCGUGGGGAGCGAACAGG